AUUGAACGCUGGCGGCAUGCCUUACACAUGCAAGUCGAACGGCAGCGGGGGAGAAGCUUGCUUUUCCUGCCGGCGAGUGGCGAACGGGUGAGUAAUACAUCGGAACGUGCCCUGUAGUGGGGGAUAACUAGUCGAAAGAUUAGCUAAUACCGCAUACGACCUGAGGGUGAAAGUGGGGGACCGCAAGGCCUCAUGCUAUAGGAGCGGCCGAUGUCUGAUUAGCUAGUUGGUGGGGUAAAGGCCUACCAAGGCGACGAUCAGUAGCUGGUCUGGUAGGACGAUCAGCCACCCUGGGACUGAGACACGGCCCAGACUCCUACGGGAGGCAGCAGUGGGGAAUUUUGGACAAUGGGCGAAAGCCUGAUCUAGCAAUGCCGCGUGUGUGAAGGAGGCCUUCGGGUUGUAAAGCACUUUUGUCCGGAAAGAAAUGGCUCUGGUUAAUACCUGGGGUCGAUGACGGUACCGGAAGAAUAAGGACCGGCUAACUACGUGCCAGCCGCCGCGGUAA
rnacentral:rRNA from 1 species